AUUGAACGCUGGCGGCAGGCCUAACACAUGCAAGUCGAACGAGCGGCGGACGGGUGAGUAAUGUAUGGGGAUCUGCCCGCUAGAGGGGGAUAACUACUGGAAACGGUGGCUAAUACCGCAUACUAUCGGAUGAAACCCUAUGGGAUUAUCUAUUGGGUGGGGUAAAGGCUCACCUAGGCGACGAUCUCUAGCUGGUCUGCGAGGAUGAUUAGCCACACUGGAACUGCGAAAAGGCCCAGACUCCUACGGGAGGCAGCAGUGGGGAAGAGUGCACAAUGGGCGAAAGCCGGAUGCAGCCAUGCCGCGUGUAUGAAGAAGGCCUUAGGGUUGUAAAGUACUUUCAGCGGGGAGGCGUUACCCGCAGAAGAAGCACCGGCUAACUCCGUGCCAGCCGCCGCGGUAAUUC
rnacentral:rRNA from 1 species